rnacentral:lncRNA from 1 species
CGCCGGGAGUUGACCAACCCCGCCGGGGCGUUGACCAGCCCCGCUGGGCGUUGACCGACCCCUAUUUGAUGUUGAAUAAGCGUUGACUCGAUAUUUUCAGGUCAAAGUUCGUGGUAGGUGACGAAGCCUUUGUGUUGGCUUCCCACAGACGGCGCCAAUGUUAAUGUUUGGAUCCGUUGGGGAUCUAAUUAACGAUAAGUAAGAGAUAGAGAGAGAGAGAGAGAGAGAGAGAGAGUGACACAAGAUGUAUAGUGGUUCGCUUCCCGUCUUAGCGGGAAACUACGUCCACUUGAAAGCUUAUACUAGUGUGUCGAGCCUUGCGGCUCAAGUGCAUUACAAAGUGUGUAAUGGAGUUGGGAAGGAAUGAAUGGUGUUUAAGUGGGAGGAGGCAUUCCUUUUAUAGG